GAUGAACGCUGGCGGCGUGCCUAAUACAUGCAAGUCGAGCGAACAGACGAGGAGCUUGCUCCUCUGACGUUAGCGGCGGACGGGUGAGUACCACGUGGAUAACCUACCUAUAAUACUGGGAUAACUUCGGGAAACCGGAGCUAAUCCCGGAUAAUAUCUUGAACCGCAUUGUUCAAUAGUGAAAGACGGUUUUGCUGUCCCUUAUAGAUGGAUCCGCGCCGCAUUAGCUAGUUGGUAAGGUAACGGCUUACCAAGGCGACGAUGCGUAGCCGACCUGAGAGGGUGAUCGGCCACACUGGAACUGAGACACGGUACAGACUCCUACGGGAGGCAGCAGUAGGGAAGCUUCCGCAAUGGGCGAAAGCCUGACGGAGCAACGCCGCGUGAGUGAUGAAGGUCUGCGGAUCGUAAAACUCUGUUAUUAGGGAAGAACAAAUGUGUAAGUAACUAUGCACGGCUGGACGGUACCUAAUCAGAAAGCCACGGCUAACUACGUG
rnacentral:rRNA from 1 species